UACGUAGGGCGCAAGCGUUGUCCGGAAUUAUUGGGCGUAAAGAGCGUGUAGGCGGCCUUACAGGUCAGCUGUGAAAACUCGAGGCUCAACCUCGAGACGUCGGUUGAAACCGUAAGGCUAGAGUCCGGAAGAGGAGAGUGGAAUUCCCGGUGUAGCGGUGAAAUGCGCAGAUAUCGGGAAGAACACCCGUGGCGAAGGCGGCUCUCUGGGGCGGUACUGACGCUGAGACGCGAAAGCGUGGGGAGCGAACAGG
rnacentral:rRNA from 1 species